CAGAGGGGGAGGGUGUAACAUGGUUAAUAAUGCUUCCACUUACCAUUGCACCAGAAAUGUAUAUGUGUAUGGGGAAAUUGUGUUCUGUCACUUUAAGUGACCAAGCUUGUUCUUAUAAUGGGAAUGACACGCUUUUUGCUCUUCCCAGUUUAUCUUGCCUGCGCAAGAGCUGCAGCAUUGCCAAUCAUUAUUCAAGACCGUUGAAUGAUUGCAUUAUUUUGUCUAUUACCAGAAUAAAAAUACUUGACUGGGAAUCCU